GUCACUUCCGGCGCCUAAGCCUAGACCAGGCGACGGCUGUUUCUCCAGAAGGUGACUGCACUGGCUUAACAUCCAGCCUCCCUGAGUGAGGCUUUUUGCUCCCCACCGACAGAGACUCCGUCGCUUCCCCGCCAGCUAGUUCCAGCUGUGCUCAGACUAAGGAAACCGGACUCUUCUGAAGAGGCUGCGGGGGCUCGAUCGCAUCUGCGAGCAGUUCACGCCCAUCUCAGUCUCUGCAGGUCCUCUUCCCCUGUUGGAAUUAUUGUCGAGUAGUAAGUAUGCUAAUAUUAAGUAAGACAGCCGGAGUGUUCUCCAAACCACCAAACAGUAAAGUUUAUGAAUUUUUAAGAACUUUUAAUAUUCUUCUGGGAACACGUUUUCAUCAUAAACUAGUACUGGGAAUUGAAACCAGCUGUGAUGAUACAGCAGCUGCUGUGGUGGAUGAAACUGGAAAAGUGUUGGGAGAGGCAAUACAUUCUCAGACUGAAGUUCAUCUAAAAGCAGGCGGGAUUGUCCCUCCAGUAGCUCAGCAGCUCCACAGAGAAAAUAUUCAACGCAUCGUAGAAGAAACUCUUUCUGCCAGUAGAAUCUCUGCACAUGACCUCUCAGCGAUUGCAACUACUGUCAAGCCAGGCCUGGCUCUAAGCUUGGGAGUAGGCUUAUCCUUCAGCUUACAGCUCGUCAAUCAGUUUAAAAAGCCAUUCAUUCCUAUUCAUCAUAUGGAGGCCCAUGCACUUACGAUUAGGCUGACCAAUAAAGUAGAGUUUCCAUUUUUAGUUCUUUUGAUUUCUGGAGGUCACUGUCUGUUGGCAUUAGCCCGAGGUGUUUCAGAUUUUCUGCUUCUUGGGAAGUCUUUGGACAUAGCACCAGGUGACAUGCUUGACAAGGUGGCAAGAAGACUUUCUUUAAUCAAACAUCCAGAAUGUUCUACGAUGAGUGGUGGGAAGGCAAUAGAAUAUUUGGCCAAACAAGGAAACAGCUGCCAUUUUACUAUCAAUCCUCCUAUGCACAAUGCUAAGAAUUGCAGUUUUUCUUUUACGGGAAUUCAACAAAAUAGCUAUAAGCUAAUAGCGCUCAAGGAAAAAGAAGAAGGCAUUGAGAAGGGACAGAUCCUGUCAUCAGCUGCAGACAUUGCUGCUACGGUGCAACAUACAACAGCGUGCCACCUUGCGAGAAGAACACAUCGUGCUAUUCUGUUUUGCAAGCAGAAAGAUUUGUUAUCUUCAGCUAACGCAGUAUUAGUUGUAUCUGGAGGUGUUGCAAGUAACUUGUAUAUCCGAAAAGUGUUGGAAAUUGUAGCAAAUGCAACACAGUGCACUUUGUUGUGUCCUCCGCCCAGACUGUGCACUGAUAAUGGCGUUAUGAUUGCAUGGAAUGGAAUUGAAAGAUUACGUGCUGGCUUGGGCGUUUUACAUGAUGUAGAAGACAUCCGAUAUGAAUCAAAAUGUCCUCUGGGAAUAGACAUAUCCAAAGAAGUCGCAGAAGCUGCCAUAAAAGUCCCACAAUUAAAAAUGACAAUUUGAUUUUUGAUUUUUAAAGAUCUCUACAGUUGCAAACUAAAGAAACUUCCUGUAGAUAAUGGGAUAGCGCUAGUAGCCAAACAUUUUAAUCAUUCUACCUUAUGUACCUGAUGGCAGUGAUUCCAGAUGCUACUGUAUUUUUCAUAAGGAAGGAAUUAAAAAUGGAGCUACUAACUUCAACCUCUGGGGACCUUUGAGAAAAUAUUUAAAAACCUGGAAAAACAAAUAUGCACAAAAAGCUUCUCUCCUCUUGUUUGCAAGAAAUCACCUGUGGAUUCUUACUCUGAAUUCAUGAGGAUCAGCUGAGAGCUCAGAUUUUAUUCGUCGAUGAGUUACUAAAUCUUCUUCCCUUUUUACAUGUACCCUAAAAUGUCAAUUCUUUUGUGACAAAAGAUGCUUUAUAGAAACAAUUAUUUGUUUACAUAACUAAACAAGAAUUGAAAAAAUAUAAUUGAAUGUUAACCUUAAGAAAUUUAUGGCUUUUGACAUUUUAAACUUAUCUUCAUAUAAAUGGGAUUCUUUCAGUUCAAAAUAGUCAAUGUUCAUUGUCAUUUUCUAUUCUCCUCAGAAUUCAAGAGCAAGACAGAUGUGAAUUUUUAACAUCACCUUUUUAACUCACCAAGGUCCUGGAGAAAAAAUUUACAAAUCUUUGAGGUCUUGUAUAGUGUGAACAGUGAUAAAGAAACAAUUCCUACUUCUCUAUCUAUGUCAUUUAUUUUUCUAAUAGCAAUUAAGAAACUGAGACUAUAUACAAACCAACACAAAUGGACCCCACUGCUCUGAUGACACUCAGGAGUGUGCCUUCUGCUAUCUUGUUAAUUUUCAGCAGGCGAACCAGCGGUGCGAUGCCAUUACCUUCACAUAUUUGAUUCUGAUGUAUCCUGCUGUCCUUACUCAGAGCUAUGACUGCUUCACCUCCUGGCAAUGAAAAGUCAGAGUGGGUGUGGGCUUCUGUAUCCACACAUUAGCAGUUAUGCAUAGAAAACGACUCACCCACAUACUGCAUCUUAGCUGACGGCGACAAAAGCAUGUUGAUUAUGAAGUUGUAUCCAAUUUGUUCUGCCAUAUAUUUUUGUUGUUUCAGUGUUUGUCCUGCCAAGGCCCAAAGUGCUACGGCUCCUUGUUCCUUAACAUCUAAUUGAAAGGCCUGUUAAGACAAAAAAAAACAUGCCAUUCAUACAGUGAAUGUGUAUUGAACACAUUAGGGAUGUAUAUUUUUUAUAAAAUGUGCAAUACAGACUAUGGUUUGAUUUUCCAAUCUCCAAAUAUAGUUCAAAAUGAAGUAACUCAUCUAUACAAUUAGAAGAGUAAUGACAAAAAUCCUACCUUCAGAAGUUUUAGGAGGUCUUUAGUUAAGUUUCUUUCCAGAAAUGCCCUCUGGAUUGAAGGAUUGUAACUUGCCAAUGACUCAACAGCCAUUGCACCUUUCACUUGGACACUGAGGUGCUUCCCUUUAAAAAGAUCUACCAGGGGAGGUAUUGCCCCCUCCCUUGCUAUAGCAUCUUGCACCUCCUUAUUAUUGCGACCGACCUCGGCAAUUGUAGCUGAGGACACUGCCUUCAGUAUAUCUUCAAAAGAGUCAAGAGUAAUAAACAAGUCAGUGCAAAUGUAAAUCUACCCCACUGUAGGAUGGCUCCGCAUAUUAUAAAAUCAAAUGUAUAAAUUCAAAGAAAAUUUAGAAAACAGAAUAUAAAUAAACUGUUCAGACUCAUUA